UACGAAGGGGGCUAGCGUUGUUCGGAAUUACUGGGCGUAAAGGGUUUGUAGGCGGUUGAACAAGUCAGUGGUGAAAGCCCAGGGCUUAACUCUGGAAUUGCCAUUGAAACUGUUCAGCUUGAGAGUGUUAGAGGAAAGUGGAAUUCCUAGUGUAGGAGUGAAAUCCGUAGAGAUUAGGAGGAAUAUCGAUGGCGAAGGCAGCUUUCUGGGACAUUUCUGACGCUGAGAAACGAAAGCGUGGGUAGCAAACAGG
rnacentral:rRNA from 1 species